GUGCCAGCAGCUGCGGUAAUACGGAGGGUGCAAGCGUUAAUCGGAAUUACUGGGCGUAAAGCGCACGCAGGCGGUCUGUCAAGUCGGAUGUGAAAUCCCCGGGCUCAACCUGGGAACUGCAUUCGAAACUGGCAGGCUGGAGUCUUGUAGAGGGGGGUAGAAUUCCAGGUGUAGCGGUGAAAUGCGUAGAGAUCUGGAGGAAUACCGGUGGCGAAGGCGGCCCCCUGGACAAAGACUGACGCUCAGGUGCGAAAGCGUGGGGAGCAAACAGGAUUAGAUACCCUGGUAGUCCACGCCGUAAACGAUGUCGAUUUGGAGGUUGUGCCCUUGAGCGUGGCUUCCGGAGCUAACGCGUUAAAUCGACCGCCUGGGGAGUACGGCCGCAAGGUUAAAACUCAAAUGAAUUGACGGGGCCCGCACAAGCGUGGAGCAUGUGGUUAAUUCGAUGCAACGCGAAGACCUUACUGGUCUUGACAUCCACAGAACUUAGCAGAGAUGCUUUGUGCCUUCGGGAACUGUGAGAC
rnacentral:rRNA from 1 species